rnacentral:rRNA from 1 species
CAGUAGCCGCGGGAAUACGAAGGGGGCUAGCGUUGUUCGGAUUUACUGGGCGUAAAGGGCGCGUAGGCGGACUGAUAAGUCAGGGGUGAAAUCCCAAGGCUCAACCUUGGAACUGCCUUUGAUACUGUUCGUCUUGAGUUCGAGAGAGGUAAGUGGAACUGCGAGUGUAGAGGUGAAAUUCGUAGAUAUUCGCAAGAACACCAGUGGCGAAGGCGGCUUACUGGCUCGAAACUGACGCUGAGGCGCGAAAGCGUGGGGAGCAAACAGGAUUAGAUACCCCGGUAGUCCCUGUCUCUUAUAC